ensembl:lncRNA
AAGUUAGAGAGGACAAACAACUGUUUUAAUGGUUCAUUCGUUUUUAUUUUAUUCUACAAAACAGUUUUUCAACGUUGCGCCAAAGUUUCUUUCUUUCACGAUCUGACGACUUUUAAACAUUAAACUUGUUUGUCCCCUCUGGGAAACAUCAGAGAACUAUUUUACACGCACACACACACACGCACACCGUCUACGCACACUUAGACAGGCUUCAUUUGGGACUUUCCAAGUCGACGGUUCACUCAAGGCAAGCGGUGCAUCGUCCGUCUCUCAGUCUGCUUGUGUGUCCUUCCUGUGCGAGUUCUUGGUCUUCUGAUGAAAUUCACACCUCAGAGCAAUCAGGAAGUGGAAAGCAGGUCAUCGCUGACAGACGAGGGAAGAGAAGACGAGCUUCACAAAGACCUGGAAUCAGCAGGUACAAUUGUUUCAAAGAAGACGACAGCGGGUUGGCAAUGAAGAACGAGCUUGUUGAAGCUCGUUUAAAGAUGGCUAGUCAGGUCACGAGAGUAAAAGAGAACUCACAACACGUGUGGAGGUCCGAUGGUGCUGCACAUCCCCCCCAAAAACACCGGACCUGUGACCCCGAACACGCCGCCGAGGAGACGCUCAGCUGCUAGAAUCUUCCGGCCAAUCACCUUGAAUCCAAUGGAGAUUCUGUGGAAAGAACCAAAAACAGGAUUAAUAGAAGCCAACGGAACCUUUGAGGUGUUUGAGUGAAUGAGCUGAAAUCACACAGGAGGCGUCACGAAGCUUCAUCAGCAACGAAGGCUUUCGUACCAACACUUUAUUACACAUAUUACACUAUUACACAUUUCUGAAAGACUCUGUUAUCAACAUCUGAUGAACAUUGUGCCAAAUGCACCUUUAGAAAUAUCUUUACUGAGAAAAAGAGACGUGUUUCGUACUUAUUUUACCCGUAUACAUAAAUUAUUAUAUAUAUAUAUAUGAAUAAAACGGUGUGUAUUAUUGUUAGAAAAAUUCUCAUGCGACAAAUGAUCAAUUUUAUACAACAAUUAAUAUACAUAAUAAGAUGAGAAAUGACCAACAAUGUGGGCGUGUUACACGUGUGUGCAUAUUUAACGACCUGUGGUAAAUCAUUUCUUCAUAAGCCUGAUUUUGACACGUAUGUAAGAGUUGGACAUUGUCGCCACGAUGUCGCUGAUUGUUUGGACAUUGAACAUGAAGUUGACCAUGUAAGGACCGAGGAGGACGUGGAGACACCGGAUGUCUUCACGGAUGUCUUCACACAUGUCGGUAAUAAUGUGACUUAACUAAUUACUUCUCUUCAAAAAAGCUCCAAAUUUCACAGCUUCUUUCCUCUCUGAACUCAACGCAUCGGCCUCCUUUCAAGAGUCAAGAUUCAGGAUAUUGAUUAAAAUAAUGAAUACAAAAAAAAAAAUUGGAUUAAAGAUAAUAAUAUAUAUAUACACAGUAAAGAGAACAACGUAUGAAUGUGUGCAUGCAAACGCUAAAGAGCGAAAGUCCUGUUUUUACGUUUCUGUGGAAACGUGUGACACCUGAGAACACGUUUCACUGCCCAUCUGCUUUCUGUUAC